GCCCCCUAAUGGGUCUAGGGUCUGAAAAACUCGGAAAUUCUGUGUGGUCAUCAGCUUCUUCUCUUGUACAUUACGAGACUGGAGUUAAAUAACGGCACUAUAUUC